UACGGGGGGGGCAAGCGUUGUUCGGAAUUACUGGGCGUAAAGGGCUCGUAGGCGGCCAACUAAGUCAGACGUGAAAUCCCUCGGCUUAACCGGGGAACUGCGUCUGAUACUGGAUGGCUUGAGUUUGGGAGAGGAAUGCGGAAUUCCAGGUGUAGCGGUGAAAUGCGUAGAUAUCUGGAGGAACACCGGUGGCGAAGGCGGCAUUCUGGACCAAUACUGACGCUGAGGAGCGAAAGCCAGGGGAGCAAACGGG
rnacentral:rRNA from 1 species